rnacentral:rRNA from 1 species
GCAAGUCGAGCGGAAACGAUGGUAGCUUGCUACCAGGCGUCGAGCGGCGGACGGGUGAGUAAUACUUAGGAAUCUACCUAGUAGUGGGGGAUAGCACGGGGAAACUCGUAUUAAUACCGCAUACGACCUACGGGAGAAAGGGGGCAGUUUACUGCUCUCGCUAUUAGAUGAGCCUAAGUCGGAUUAGCUAGAUGGUGGGGUAAAGGCCUACCAUGGCGACGAUCUGUAGCUGGUCUGAGAGGAUGAUCAGCCACACCGGGACUGAGACACGGCCCGGACUCCUACGGGAGGCAGCAGUGGGGAAUAUUGGACAAUGGGGGAAACCCUGAUCCAGCCAUGCCGCGUGUGUGAAGAAGGCCUUUUGGUUGUAAAGCACUUUAAGCAGUGAAGAAGACUCUUCGGUUAAUACCCGGAGACGAUGACAUUAGCUGCAGAAUAAGCACCGGCUAACUCUGUGCCAGCAGCCGCGGUAAUACAGAGGGUGCAAGCGUUAAUCGGAAUUACUGGGCGUAAAGCGAGCGUAGGUGGCUUGAUAAGUCAGAUGUGAAAUCCCCGGGCUUAACCUGGGAACUGCAUC